AUUGAACGCUGGCGGCAGGCCUAACACAUGCAAGUCGAGCGGAUCGGCGGAGGGGUGAGUAAUGCCUAGGACUCUGACUGGUAGUGGGGGAUAACGUCCGGAAACGGGCGCUAAUACUGCAUACUAUCAGCAGAGCCUAGGUCGGUUUAGCUAGUUGGUGGGGUAAAGGCCUACAAAGGCGACGAUCCGUAACUGGUCUGAGAGGAUGAGCAGUCACACUGGAACUGAGACACGGUCCAGACUCCUACGGGAGGCAGCAGGGGGGAAUAUUGGACAAUGGGCGAAAGCCUGAUCCAGCCAUGCCGCGUGUGUGAAGAAGGUCUUCGGAUUGUAAAGCACUUUAAGUUGGGAGGCGUUACCAACAGAAUAAGCACCGGCUAACUCCGUGCCAGCAGCCGCGGUAAUUC
rnacentral:rRNA from 1 species